UACGUAGGGGGCAAGCGUUGUCCGGAAUUACUGGGCGUAAAGGGCGCGUAGGCGGAUAUUUAAGUCAGAUGUGAAAACUCCGGGCUCAACUUGGAGAUUGCAUUUGAAACUGGGUAUCUUGAGGACAGGAGAGGAAAGCGGAAUUCCUAGUGUAGCGGUGAAAUGCGUAGAUAUUAGGAGGAACACCAGUGGCGAAGGCUGCUUUCUGGACUGUAACUGACGCUGAGGCGCGAAAGCGUGGGGAGCAAACGGGAUUAGAUACCCCCGUAGUCCCUGA
rnacentral:rRNA from 1 species